AGACAACACAUUAUGCUUCCAAUAUCUUCCCAGGCGGUAGUACCUCCCUGUUUGAUGCUGCUUACUACUGUAUACAGUAUAUUAUUUUAAGAAAACUGGUUACAGGAGAAAAAUAAAUAAAUUCUACUAAAUAUAUACUCCUUGCUGAAAUAGGGGGUGCAUCUUAUAUGGCCCUGUGUCUUGUAUGACGUAAAGUAUGUUAUUUUGGAGGGAGGAGGAAAAUGUUAAGAUUAUUUUUAUUUUCUUCUAAAAUACACAAGUGUAUUCAAUUUUCCACCCAAAAUUUCUGUUGUAUAGCAAAUCUUGCUUUCCGGUUUUUAAAUUUUCGUCAUUGCUCAUCCAUUUCCAGUGUAUAGCAAGUUUUCAUAAAACAGUCCAAAAAUCAGGGAUGACUGUAAAUAACCGGUUGAACAGAAGAAAUCCAAAGACCCGGUCUCAUUGUGUAAUCUAACUGAGGUACAUUACCAUUGUUUAACUGUUAACUGAGGUACAGUACCAUUGUUUAACUGUUAACUGAGGCACAGUACCAUUGUUUAACUGUUAACUGAGGUACAGUACCAUUGUUUAACUGUUAACUGAGGUACAGUACCAUUGUUUAACUGUUAACUGAGGCACAGUACCAUUGUUUAACUGUUAACUGAGGUACAGUACCAUUGUUUAACUGUUAACUGAGGUACAAUACUAUUUCUGACUGGUACCAGUAAGAGUUCACCUAAAUGGAAAGUUUGAAGUGUCGUUUCAUCUCUUGGAUUGAUGAAAAUAAAAUAACAAGUAAUUAUAUUUGAGGUCAAUAUAAAAGUACUGUCAUUAAUUUGCAUUAUGAGUUGACAAUUUUUUUCACCUUUGAGAUGAGAAUUUUGUGUGUCAGUACAGUACAGUGCUGGGGCUGCCCUAGUACUGUACUGUAUGCAGAACGUUACUCUUAUUGUCCCUAUAUGAUUACUUGUUGUAUUUGUUGCUCAUUGUUUGAAUGUCAUGAAACAGUGGUGGGUUGGGGUGUGUGGCAGCAGAAGCAGUGGAAUGCAGCUCAAGUUUUUACAUUUAAAUUUUUCCUUUUAUUGGACUUCAACUGUUGCACCUUUUGAGGUUAGGAAUGUCUGAAAAUACUGUAGCCAAAUUAUGUCAAAUUGCAAGUUAUAGAGUUAUGUAUUAUGAAGAUAUUACUGUAAUAAAAAAAAAACAUUUACUCAUCAAAUUUUUCAGGAAAUAUGGCUUUGAUACUUAAUGAUUUAUGGUAAGUGAAAAAAAAAUGCAUCUUGUGAAUUACAAAGCCAUUGGCCUCCUUCCAUAAGCUAUGUUUAUUGCAAACAGAUUGGGUUGUUUUAAUUAUUGUUGGCUAGACUUCACAAGCAUAGGCAUCUUGUUAUAGACAAAAAUAUUAACUACAGUACUUUUUUUACUUUUUACAAACCUUUAUAAAACAGAAAUAAAACUACAAACCUGAA